rnacentral:rRNA from 1 species
AGUGAACGCUGGCGGUAGGCCUAACACAUGCAAGUCGAACGGCAGCACAGUAAGAGCUUGCUCUUACGGGUGGCGCGUGGCGGACGGGUGAGGAAUACAUCGGAAUCUACUUUUUCGUGGGGGAUAACGUCGGGAAACUUACGCUAAUACCGCAUACGACCUACGGGUGAAAGCAGGGGAUCUUCGGACCUUGCGCGAUUGAAUGAGCCGAUGUCGGAUUAGCUAGGUGGCGGGGUAAAGGCGCACAAAGGCGACGAUCCGUAGCGGCUCUGAGAGCAUGAAUAGCUAGAUUGGAACAGAGACACGUCCCCGACUCUGACAGGGGGCCACAGUGGGGAAUAUUGCACGAGGGGGGAGAGCCUGAUCUAGCCAUACCGCCGGAGUGAAGAAGGCGCUAUGGUGGGAGAGUGCUUUUGUUGUGAGAGAAGAGCAGCAGGUUAACACGCCGCUGUUCUGACGGUACCCAAAGAAUAAGCACCGGCUAACUUCGUG